rnacentral:rRNA from 1 species
UACGAAGGGGGCGAGCGUUGUUCGGAAUUACUGGGCGUAAAGGGCUCGUAGGCGGCCAACUAAGUCAGACGUGAAAUCCCUCGGCUUAACCGGGGAACUGCGUCUGAUACUGGAUGGCUUGAGGUUGGGAGAGGGAUGCGGAAUUCCAGGUGUAGCGGUGAAAUGCGCAGAUAUCAGGAGGAACACCGGUGGCGAAGGCGGGACUCUGGGCCGAUACUGACGCUGAGGAGCGAAAGCGUGGGGAGCAAACAGG